rnacentral:rRNA from 1 species
CGCCAGACUCCUACGGGAGGCAGCAGUGGGGAAUAUUGCACAAUGGGGGAAACCCUGAUGCAGCGACGCCGCGUGAGUGAAGAAGUAUUUCGGUAUGUAAAGCUCUAUCAGCAGGGAAGAAAAUGGCGGUACCUGACUAAGAAGCCCCGGCUAACUACGUGCCAGCAGCCGCGGUAAUACGUAGGGGGCAAGCGUUAUCCGGAUUUACUGGGUGUAAAGGGGGCGCAGACGGCGAUGCAAGCCAGGAGUGAAAGCCCGGGGCCCAACCCCGGGACUGCUCUUGGAACUGCGUGGCUGGAGUGCAGGAGGGGCAGGCGGAAUUCCUGGUGUAGCGGUGAAAUGCGUAGAUAUCAGGAGGAACACCGGUGGCGAAGGCGGCCUGCUGGACUGCAACUGACGUUGAGGCCCGAAAGCGUGGGGAGCAAACAGGAUUAGAUACCCGAGUAA